ACGUAAGUGAUGAAUCACUGGGUUUUACUCCUGAAACCAGUACUACACAGUAUGUUAACUAACUUGAAUUUUAAUAAAUAAUUUUGAAAAAUAAAAGACUCUGAAAGGUCUUUUGGAUAGUUUCUUUAUGCCCUUAAAUCCCAGGGAUAGAAUGAUGAAAGAAUCCUAGGCAGGAAAUCAGGAGAUCCUGUUUCUGCUUCAGCGUGGGCCAAUAACUUAGUAUGCUAACUUGUGUGAAUUGUUUUACCUCUCUGGGCUUCUGCUUCUUUAUUUGUAAAAUCAGGGGCUCAGAUUAGAUUUCCUAAGAGCUCUUCCAUAUUUUGCAUUCUGUGAAUCUAUUGCUGAGACACCCCCAACCUUAUGUCUAAGCAUGCUGAGUGAGAGCAUAUUAUGGGGAGCUCAUUGCAUUUCAGGUGUUUUCCUCCAUAUUGAAUUAAAUCCCUCAUUUAUCUUUGCCUCUGCCUCAUACCUCCCACAACUUUAUUUUAGGAUGUAAACUUUGCUGCCAGGUUUUUCCUUUCUUCCUUUCUUUCUUCUUUUUUUUUUUGUUUUUCUAUUCUUCUUGACCUAAAGUAGUAAAAGAGUUACUAUGACAACAGAGUAAUUUUCUUAGAUGGCCACAUUCAAUUUGCUUAAGUAGAUAUUAGGAGUGCAACAUGUUUCAUUAGCUCCAAGGCCCUUGGGAUGUAACACUGAAGUUCUGGGAAGACCAGAGCUUCAGGUUAAGCCCAUUGAAACCUGGGUCUAUUGACUGUGUAGAGAUGACAUUUUCUUUAUAGGGCCUGUGUCUUAGUUUCUUAGACCUGGUAAGUACCAAAAGUAAUUACUAAAGGAAAUUGUAAGAAGAUCUGCUACUUUAGCUAACAAAAAAAGAAAUGGAAGAAAAACUUUAAGCACAGUGCUGGAUAGCAUAAAUCAGAAAGUAAAUAGCCAAGAUAUUAAAAAAUAUAUUUUGUAUCUGUUUGUUUAUUUUCCUUUUCUAUGAAAGAGGAAAACAGACCUUUAUCUAAAUUAAAGGUUAGAUUCCCAAAGGUAAUAUAUUAAGCAGAUGGAAAUUAUAUGCAACUAACAUCCAACAGUAAGGAAAUAGAAUAAAUUUGGUCGUUUGAGUAAAAUAAUAAAUCUAAUUAAUAAUCAUUAGGGUAAUACAAGUAAAUAUUAAUGUUUAUUAUAAUAGUAAUAAACAGUUUAUUCAGCAGUGAAUAUUUUUUAAAUGUUUUCAAUAUGCCAGACAUUGUGUUCAUGACAAGAACAUGGAAUGUGUAUUAUGAUUAUUAUUCCAGUUUUAUAGAUAAGAGAAAUAGAGGCUUGGAGAGGUCAUAGGCAAGCUGAGUAGCAAAUUUAGGGUGAUCUCAUGGUCACCUCUGUACUUAACCAUAUACAGUACUUGAAUACUCUGAAUAUAUCUUGCAACUGCCCAGACCAUUGAGGAUAAUGAAGUGAACAAGAAAAGGUGUAAGGUACCUUCUCCAAGGACUGUGUUAAGUGUGUGUAUGUUUGGCUACUAACUUGGAAAUGACAAGUUAGACAGGAAGAUAUCAUUGCUGUGUAACAACCCCAUGAUGAUUUUAUAGGACAUACUGGAGAAUUUCUGGAGGGAGACUAGCCAUGUGCCAGAGAUUUAUGUUUUUUCACAACUAAGGAGAACCAUGCAGGCCAUGAAUUGUUAAGAUUUUAAGAUCAUCAGGAAGUAGAACAGGUGUACAUGUGCACCUCACAUCCACACAUAAACCCUUUUAUUCAAUACACAGAUUAUACUUAGACACUGAGAUGAUUACAGGGACCCAGAAUGUAUUUUUUCCAGAUUCAAAGUGUGGAUUCUGUACUUAUAGAAAACAUUACAUGUAAGAAAGCAGAGCAGAGCCCACUGUUCAAAUGGGAGCUUUCCUAACAUGGUAGGCUAGGCUGGGGUAAUAACAUCUUAUAACUUUGGCUUAUCUUUGUAUCAGUGUGGGAGACAUCAUAGUGGGGCAUGAGAACAUGGAACUGAAUCAGGUGGAGCUGUGGCUGUAUCCUGGUUGUACUGCUUAUUAGCUGCAAUAUCUUAGGAGAAUGAUUUUAUUCAAAUAUUCUCAAUUCCCUCAGCAAUGAAAAAGGAUGAUUUCUUACUCACAAGGCAGGAAAAACGAGGUCUGGUGAGUAUGUUGGUAGGGUCUGGUAGCAUGGAAUCUACAUAAAUGAAGACCUGAAGCAUAUUUUCAGAGAGACUCUAGGAAAGGGGCCAGACAUGCUGAACUUGACUUAGUAUUCUGGACAUUGUGAUUGCCUUGGAAGGUCUGCUCCACCCCUCUCCUGUUACAUGGUUAUUAUGCAAAUUGAUUUUGCCCUGAUUAGCAAAAGUCAAUCAGUAUUCCUUCAUCCCCUUUGGCAUAGCAAUUUUGUCAGGGACCAGCAAUAACUGCAGGUCUAAGCCAAUGAACACAUGCCAUUUACCUAACCAGGUUAGUCAAGUCAGAACAUGGAAUUAUUUUAUCUAUGAUUAGAGAAAGAAUAGGAUCCCUCUCUUAUUUUGGAAGGUAUAAUAUACAGCUACAGCUUUAAGGUCUGGGGCCGUGCAACAACAGAAGGUGUUUGGAUGUAGUUAUCAAAUAUAGGAAGGCGGAGAUAAGUGAAUUCUAAGGAAAUAGAGCCAGAGCCCUGAUCAAACUAUUCCUAAACCCCAUACUACUGUUUGCACUUCAAUGAGACAAUAAAUUCCUUUUGUUGUUUAAAUCUGGUUGAUUUGUAUUUUGAAUUUGUUAUUACUUUCCACUAAAAGCAUGCUAAAAUAUACACACUUACAAUUUUAAUUGUCAGAAGGCAGAAAUGAUUAUGAAUUUAAAGUGAGCCUGUGUCUUGAACUUGUUCCUGGCAAAUGUGUCAACCACUCCAUUCCUCUUCCCCCACCAUGUCUCCAUCCUUCCUAACCACCCCCACCCCCAAACUUUGGACACAUCUUUGAUGUCUAGGCUGAGAUAGCUUUGUAAUUAGAAGUUAAACAAGAAUUUUACUACUCUCUGGGGCACAUUUAGUUCAAAUUGUAUUGCUUUAGGGCCCUCUAAUGGACAUUAACACAAAAGAGGGCACCAGGCCUUUUACUUUUUAGAGCUUUGGCCGUAGAAGACAGCAAUGCAUUUGUGUGUGGCACAUUUCCUUAGCCAAGUUAUCUAUGGCAUCUUGCUACUAAGUUUAAAGAAAUAAUAUGUAUGCACAGAGUUAAGUGUAGCCAGUAUUGAAGCAGGCUUAUAGAGUAAAAUACAUCAUGUUUUACUUCUGUUUUAUUUGGCCAUCUGCUAAAGUAUGAGAUAGAGGACAGGAGGGUAGGAAGAAAAGCAUGAAAAUGAAUAAAUGAUUCUAGGAACCAGGGUGGAUCAGGAAACUGUUGAGUAAAACAAAAUCUUGUGGCUCUGCCUUAAGCUCAUUUUGGUGGCUCUUUAAUUUUAAUAUUUAACUCUCAAUUCCUUUAUUUUGUACUAGAGUCAUAUUAGUGAAGGCCCUCCUAACUUAUUUAAUUAAUAAAUAACUUCUAAAAUUUCAAUAGACUAACCAAAAUAGAAGUUAGCUAUUAUAUUCCUGUAAUGAGCGAAGACUUUUGAUCCUGGUCUGUGCUGCUGAGUUUUUCCAUGUUGGAUUUAGGGAUUCAGGCUUUUUCUGUCUCAUGUUCUGGUAUUGUCUAAGUCAGGGGUUGGCAAAUUAUGUUCUGUGGACUCUUCACUUGUUUUUGUAAAUAAAGUUUCAUUGGAACACAGCUUCAAAUGCUUAUGUAUUGCUCAUGGCUGCUUUUGUGCUAUGAAGGCAGAGUGGAGUAGUUCUAACAGAGAUAAUAUGGCAACAAAACAUAAAAUAUUUACUAUCUAUGCCUUUUCAGAGAAGUUUUCCAGCCUUUCCUUUAAGGCCCAUUUGUCCUCUGCGUUGAACCAGCAGGAAUAAAAGAGCAUGGAGAACUUACAAACACUUUUUGAAGCCUUGAAUCAGAGAAGACAUUCAUUUCUUCUAUUUACAUUUCAUUGGUAAAAACUGGUCACAUGGACACAAUAGAUGUAAACAGUUCUGGGAAAUGUAGUCUCUGGCUAAGAAGCCUCUUCCCAGCAAUGACUUGACAUUAUGAAGGGUGGAGCACACAUUUUGGCAAACAAUUAUCUGUCUCUGCUACAAAAUAUCUAAUCAUAGCCUUGAAAGGGACCAUUGAAGUUUUACUUAAGUAAUUAAUUCCUAUUCAUCAAGUGUAUCCUAUGUUUCAGGCAAGAUUUUGGGUUCUUAAAAAGGAGAAAUAAAUAAGACUCAGUCAAAUAAGUGAAACCACCAUAUAUAUAUCUCUCUUUCAUUCUCGUUACAGGAAAUUCAAAUUUAAGACAGUCAUCUAAAUAAUCAUGGUGGGAAUAAUGGACUGAUAGGGGAGGGGGAUAUGGGUACUGUCUGGUCCUGGGUCAGUGCAUCCUAGAUGUCAGCUGUUGGAAAAUGAAGUUGUUCACAUUCAAGAAUCUAUGCAGAUACUCAGAACUGGAGCUCAGAGGGCACUGGGCAUGUAGAACUAGGCUACACAAACCAUGCCAAAAGCUUACCAAGGAACUGUGCUGGCAACUGGUGAAGAUAGAAGAUAUCAACAAUAAUGUUACUUCAGCUGCUUUGUAUAUUGAACUUCCACAUAAGAUAUAAUUUGAACAAAGGCUGAAAAAUAGCAUGAAAGUUACUGACAUAAUGCAACACCCACAUAUUACAGAAGAGGAAACUGAGACCUGGAAAGGUUUUGGGGACCAAACAAACACUGAACAAAGUGGAUGUAGUUCUGGUCUUUAUGGAGCAUACUGCCUGUGAGAUAAUAAAAAGAAAAAUUACAACUGGAAUUGGUGAAUUCUAACUGCUUUCAUAGUUUUUCUCUCAACAACGAUGUUUACUUUCAUUCACUGCUUUGGACAAAAAGGAUUAUCCACAGCUAUCUCUUUAAGAGACUUCUGACUUCUCAAAACAGUUUAUGCCUAAAUAGUGCUAUGUUACCAGUGCUGGACUCCGGAAUGAUUACAAAAACCACUACCCCUGUCUAGCUCCUGUGGAUCUGGAGAACAGAAUUAACUAGAAAGCUGUAAUUCAAACUUUCUCCACAUGGAAGAACGGGAAAUAUGAAGCUGACAAGAGAAGCAAGGCUGGAGGAUAUGGAAAGAAAGCUUCAUGACUGACUCCUCUCACCAAAUUAAUCUUUACUUUUUUGGCAGUAAGUAAUGAGUAUAUAUAAUGUUUAAGGCACUAUGUAUAUCUUUGGGAGAUUCUGACUGGAUCUGUAAUUGGACACAGUGGCAGAAACUGGCUAGAUGUUCACCAAAUACAUUUCCUCCUCUUUCUGUGCACACUGCUAAUGUACCUUCUCACCUCACCUGUACGUAGCUGAGGCCAUGCAACCAUUUAUCAUGGAUGAAAAGUGAUAUGUGAAGAAGUGAUAUGUGUCACACCUAGACCAAGGAUGUCAAGAGUAUAGCUUCUCUAUGCUCUCUCUCCUCCUUUGCUUACAAUAAGAUUCAGAUGAUCAAGUAGAAGAUUCCAAGGCCCCAGGAGGUGGCACUGACACCAGAAGGAAGAAGCGGCCUGUAUCCUAAAUGACUGAGAAGAGCAGAGUCUCCUUCCCCACCUCCCUUCCUCUGCCCUAUCCCUAUUGUGAUAUCACCCCCCCCCCACACACACACUUAUUUUGUUAAGCCAUUGGUAUUAUAGGAUUGUUUAGCACAACAGCUAUUAUUUACCCUGCCUAAUACAAGGAGCUUAUGGACUGGUAGAAAAAAAUAAGGCAAAUACAGAAAAUUGCAAUACAAAUUGGAAAGUGAGAUGUACCAUUUGAGAAUGAGGAAAAGCUUCUGUUCUUUUGGGAGAAUCGAAGAAUAUUUUAUUAGUGGAGAUGAUAGCUGAGCCAGGUAUUAAAAAUUUAGAUAAGAUGUAGAUAAUUGGAAAUGGGAGAGGCAGAAAGUGUGUAAUUAUUUCAGAGGUAGAAAUUAAAGAAUAGAGGAGGGUAUUGAGAGGUAUAUGUAUGUCACAUAUCACAUGUUAGUUUGAGUGGCAAGAAAGGUGGAAGGAAGGAAAGAAGGGUUGUAAAGGUAGAAUUCUGAAUUCCAGUCAAAACAGCUAGAAUUUUAUUCUGCAGGGGUUUCUUUGUUUGUUUUUAGAAUAGAGAGGAAGGAAAAAAUAGUUUGAAAGGAUGUUUAAGAUAAUCGACUCAGAUAUUGAGCUCAAUAAUAUCCCAUUGUUGCAAUAAAAUCCCUAAUCAUAGCAAUGGCUAAUAAUAGAGUAGAAGACACAGGGAAAAUGUUAUACAGAUGAGGUUGGAGAAGUGGUGGAAGCCCGAUCGUGGCACUACAUUCAGGAGUGCGGAUUUUCUUCUAAGUUCCAAGGGACAUCAUCACGAGGUUUCCUGCAGAAGGAUGUUAUGAUUUGAUUUGCAUGUUUAAAUCAGCAUGACUGCCAUGUGGAGAAUGGACAGUAGUGUGUAAGAGUGGAAGCAAAGCACCAAUUAAGAAGUGAUGACUAAAGUGGAGCAGGUCUUCACAAAGCAUCUGAAAUCCUAGUUUUAGUCCAUUCAUUUAGGGAGAGUAAUGCAUUAGCAGGUCAAGGCAAGAAGUUAGAAAAGAAAUACAUUCCUAUGAUUCCUCAGAGUAGAAGUACAGAAACAGAAAAUUGAAUGAAUAAGUGAAUAUAUAAAUAAUCGAAACAGUAAUAGCAGAAAAAAUAAGCUAAAUAGCCUUUUCUAGUCAUAGAAUGUAGAUUGAUAACAUCUCAGAAAGGCUGGCUCUGAUCACUCUGUUUAGGCCAACCUACUUGCCCCAUCCCACUUGCCCUGCUUUAUUUUUCUGUAUAGCAUCUAUCUCCACCUAAGAUAAUAUAAUCUAUUUUUUUUCACUCAUUUGUUGUUAGUUUCUCAAGCCCUUUCAAGCUAAUGCCCAAAAAAGCAGGGGACUCAUUUUUCCCCCCACCAUUUUAUCUCCUGCAUUUAAAAUUGUGCUUGGGAGAGAGAAGGUAGCAUUCAUUAAAUGAAUGAAUGGACAGAUGAAUAAUAACUGACUAUUCACACUAAUGAACUUUCCUGAACAAAAUAUGUUGCUAUGUUGAAAAUCUUGAAGGAUCAGGAAAGCUAAGGAGACAUGUGUAAGAGUUGUUCUUAAAUAAAGACACAGCUUGAAAUAAUAGUGGGAAAAGCAUUAGCUUUGGAAUCAUAUAAGAGUAUAUUCAAAGCCUGGCUUCUUCUGUUUCUAGUUCUCAAAUCCUGGGCAGGUGGGUCACCUCCCUGAGCCUUAUUCCUCAUCUGUAAAAUGGUAUAAUUACUCUUACCAUAAUGUAAUGUAUGUAAAGCACAGUCCCUGGCUAAUACCUCCAAUCCCAAUGUUUAAAAAUCAUCUUUAAUUCAGUGAAUGCCUAAGGUUUUCUAGAAUUCUUAUCUAGAAUUCGCAUUUCAUAUCCUGAAAAUUUGGCUGUGACUAAUUUGUGUAUCUGCCUUUGUUUCUUCCAUUCCCCACUUGAUUAAAAUAAAUAAUUGCAUCCUUUUUCCCUUUGCUCUUCUUGAAUCUUGCUUCCUACCUACUAUACCACACUGAGCCAGUGAAAACUUGUUUAACUGCACAGCGUUGCCUAGCAAUGUCAUGUUCCUCUCAUGGUCUUACUCUGGGACACAGUAACUGGACUCCUGCUACUAAUUCUUCCAUCUUCAUAUCACUGUAUAUCCGGUCUUUUAAUAACUAUUAGAAGGGACAUUCUGCUUUUAUUAGCUGAAGGUCUUAUAGAAGAGUCACCAUUGUUAUUCAUUCUGAUAGAAUUAAGCUGAACUGUUUCUCUUUUCUCCAAAUCACUCAGGUUCUGUGUUUAAAAGGUCAAUUACAUUUAUUUCAAAUUGGUAAGACAAACAUUUCCUGUGCAUCCUGAAAAUAAAGUGGCCCAAUGAACAGUUUCUUGAGAACAUUUUAUUUUUUUAAUUUUAAAUAUGUAUCUGGCACUGAUAAGUUUCCUGCCCAACCUUAGGACUGUGUUAAAAGUGAUAUUGAGCAUAGGCUGGUGUCUGAAAUGGAAUUCAUUCCCCAGGAAGCUGACACUAGGAAUGGUGUGGGUGAAGUGACCUGGCCCUGUUAUUGUAUCCUUCACCACUAAAUGACCAUCUCAGCCAUGCUAUGAGUUUGCAAGUAUUAAACAGAAAAAGCAACAUCCCACUCACAGUGCUACAUCAUGGAACAUUGGAGGUGGGCCAGAUGUAAUAAGUAUAAUUGGAAAGAGAAGUCAUUUCAAAUCACUAAUCUGUAGAUGACAAGGCAAUCUUAAAGCACCAAUCAAUGGUCAGCUUGUUUUUAGAAUCCUCAAGGCAAGACUAUUCAAAUGCAAGAAAAGAAUUUAGAGUCUCCUACUGUGUGGCAACGGGAUAUUCUAUCUUACCAGCAGCUUUAGCAAUGCCCUCAGAGGCCUUACAUACAGCGUCAGGAAUCAGACCUAAUCCUGCUCAACUACAUACAUUUAACCACUACCUUAUACUGCAUGGGUUUUAAACGCAAAUGCCUACUGGGCUAGUCAGGUAGUUGGGUUAAACUGGAGACACUGUGCCCAUUUAAAAGUCAGCCACUACUGAGUUAUAGGACUGUACUGCAUGCAAGAAUGCAGGUCCAGUGAUGCCAGAUCAUCUCAUUUCUUUAGGAAAGUCUGAUUAUCUGAAUUUUAUAGUGAAAUGUCAUGAUUUUUUACAUGUUGACAGUUUAGUAAAACAGUGCAGUCAAACAUGUCUUUGGGACAGAUGCAACACUGGGUCCAGCAGUCUGUUACUUCUGUGUAUAGUCUCUGCUAUUUGUGGGUAUAGGCUGGAACCAAUACGUAUUAUUCCUAAGGUCCCACAGGCUCUCCAGGGAAAGCACAAGUAUGUUCUGGGUGAGAAACUAUAGGUCAAAUUUCAUCUAACAAAACUAACUCUCAAAUGGAGAAUAUACAAAUAUUCCCUUUAUGUAGCUACUCCUAUCCCACAAGAGGGUAGGAAAAAGUUCCCAGAGAAGAGAAUUAUGAGAAAGGAAGGAGGGGGGAAUGUCCAAGUGUCCAGGGAGAGGGGAGAGAAUAAGAAAGAAGAUGUGGUGGCAGAAACCUCUGGUUGGGUUCCAGUCUUUUGUUCUGUCAGGGAGAAUGACCCACUGCCUAUCACAAAGCAACGUUAGAUUCUGUCAUGGCCUUGAUCAGUCUGGAAAUCUAAGAUUUCUUUAAAUAAACAAUAUGGCCUUGGGCGUCAAGUUUUAGCAAACUCAUUACCACUGUAAAGGAAAAAUACAACCCAAUGUCAGCAAUAUUCAUUCUAUUUUCUCUGCCCCUGCAGGAAUCUGGUCCUUGUUUGGCUACUGCAUUCCUCAACUUCCCCUGAGAGAAGGAGACAGGCGAGCUUUUGCUAUAAUCAGGGAGGUCCUGGGAGGCAUUGUAUUAGUUAAAAGAGAUAUAUCCCUGCACUUGAACACAUUGUUGGGAUACUUUCAGUUUGAUAACUGGAAUCAAAAAUUGGAUCCUGGCUAAGUCCAUUUUUACUGGUGAAGGCAGUGAAAAGUAUAUCCUUGGAGCCCUCUGAAUAUUCCAUUUCUUUGUCUUUGAGACACCCAUCGGGCCCAGGAAUCCAUUUUAGGUUCUAUUCUUAUGCUCAAAUGAUGGUUGAUGAAUGUCUACAAAGUAAAAAGGUAUAAUCCUUCCCAAGGUAUUUGUAAUUUCAAAGGUUUGAAGAUAAGAGUAACUGGCGUCAGACCCCUGAAAAAUGAAGCUACAAUUCCUGGGACAAGGACUUGUUUAGUAGAGAGAGCAGCAGACAUCCCUGGAGAUGAUCCAGGCAGUAUGGAAAGGCCACAGUGGUAAAAAAUUGAAGUCCUGGAACAACAGUUUCCUAUCAGUGAGCUCAAAGCCACAGCCUGGAUUAAGAAUAUUAUUCUAUGACCUUUAAAGCUAGGUGAUGUUUUAAGGGCAGGAAGGUGUGUUGUACAGGGCAUAAGAACCAGCUCAAGGCUAAAAUGAGGCCAAGCCUCUGAAGUCUUUAAGUUGCCUGGACUAUUGCAAAAUGGAGGCAUAGCAAGCAGAAUCAUGGCUCCCUGAGUUUUCCAUGCCCUAGCCCUUCAAAUCUAUGAAUAUGUUAACUUGCAUGGCAAAAGGGACUCUGCAGAUAUGAUGGAGUAUAGGAUCUUGAGACAAGGAGACUAUUCUGGAUUGUCCAGUUGGACCCACUGUAUUCACAUGGGUCUUUAUAAGAAGAAAACAAGAGUGUCAGAGUCAGAGAGAGAUUAGAAGAUGCCCUAUUGCUGGCCUUGAGGAUGAAGAGCCAUUAGCAAAGGAAUGCAGGCAGCCUCUAGCCACAGAAAAAGGCAAGAAAACUCAUUGUCUCCUAGAGCCUCCAGAAGGAAGGCAGGCCUGCGAACAAUUUGACUUUAGCCCAGUGAGACAUAUUUUGGGCUUCUGACGUGUAGAACUUAAGAAAAUACAUUUGUGUUGCUUCAAACUAUUGCAUUUGUGGCAAUUUCAUAUAGUAGGCAAUAAGAAACUAACACAGUGGGCAAACAUGUUUUGUUUUAAAAAAAUGAAAAAAAUUGCCCACUUAAAAAAUCCUAUUUUAUAUAAAAAUCUGUAUUUGUGGUAUCUUCAAAAACAAACUGAAAGCUUUGCUAAAGCUGUUCUUAUGUUUGUUCUGGAAGAGUAUGUUGCACUGUGCUGCAGCCUUCUGAUGAGGAUGGACUUUCAAGUUUACCAUGAUUUCCACUACCCCUUACUAUCAAAGUUAUUGUAACAUCUCUCUCCAUUUUUAUAUGCCAUGUGUCCCCUUUGGGCAUUUGGAUUUAAGCUCCUUGCCUAGGUGAUUGUAGGUCAUUUUCUUUGACAAGCAGCAAGAUUGGCUUUAGAGGUUGGAAUUAGGCUGAAUUUGCAAGUUGGUGUUAAGUGAGCCCAGCUGCCUAUGCUGAAGAAACUAAGGAAAUAGGACCCUAAACGAUUAGUACGUUAUCUGUACUGGGAAAUGGGAAUAUUGCUUGGCUUCUUUAAAAAUAUCUCUAGUUGGGGGGCGCCUGGGUGGUUCAGUCAGUUGAUUGACUUGAGCUCAGGUCAUGAUCCCAUGGUUCAUCAGUUCGAGCUCCGCCUCUGGCGCCGUACUAUUAGGACAGAGCCUGCUUGUGAUUCUCUUUCUCUCCUUCUCUCUCUGCCGCUCCCCCACUUGCACACGCUCUCCCCGCCCACCCAAAUGAAUUAACAUUAAAAAAAACCCUCUAGUUGGCACCUGAGGAUUUCCCCUCCUUUUACAGAGGGGCCUUGUCAGUAACUCAUCAAGCUCAAUGAGCUGAUAUCAGAAAGCCAGACGGGCCUGCGGAAGAAUCCUGCACAACCCAGUCUCUGUGGAGUUUUCCUCACAAUUGUCCACUGAGAAAGGCAGAGGACCCAAUUCUGGAUGUCAGCAGCUGUGACAACAGGUACAUGGAGACCGUGUGGUGACGGGCACAGGUGUAGUGAGAAAUGGCUGAUGGUGGUCAGAAAUGCUCUUGUUGUGGCACGUGGAGCAUGUUACCAGAGGGCCUCAUUUACUACAGCUGAGUAACUUGGUAUAGAACUAACAGCCCUAAGUGGCAUUGUUUUCCUAUUACUCAGCAUGGUAAUAUGUUGGGAGCAUUUGCUCUGCUCUGUCUAGCAUAAUGGUGUCAUGGUGAGUUUCCCAGGAUUUUAUUGUCACUGAUGUGAAAUAGCUGUGUUUUUUUUCUCCAACACUAUAAUUUUCCGUGUUCUGAUCCUGCAAUCAUAGCACCAUUUGGGUUAACUCAAUUGCUUCGUCGCUUUGGUAAAGACAGCCCACACAUAAUGGCAAUUUAAAAAAUCAUACAAUUUUAAUAAUUGAGUGACUAAGAUCCAAAGUGUCUGAUACAGGAAGCUCAUAAUAUUUUGUAAUACAAUUUUGAAAAGAUAAUAGAGGGUAGAGAAAUGAGUCUGACAAGGAAAUGACAACACUUUCUUAAAGUACUGCUAUUAAGUGGGCAUGACAAGCCCAGCUGGUUACCUACAACAUUUAGCAAAGAAUGACACCCUUCAGAGCUGCUGCCAGGGGCAACUUGCACACAAUGAGGGUAGCGUGGUGGUGAGUUGUUUUCUUUCCUCUUUUCUGCUCUGCUGCCUAUGCUUCUAAGGAUCAUUGUACCACUCUCCCACCCCUUCCCACUCCUUACAGAUCUGGUGGAGCUAAGGGACCCUAGAACCUGUUUCCAUUUUAAGCUUUCUCUUUAAUUUUUCCUGCAGAGGUUUUCACGUGGUUUUGUUUUUCCCCAAAGCACUAGAAUCCUUUCUUCAAGAGAAACAUUUCAUGGAAUUCGAAUAUGUAAUACAUAUAAAAGCAGUAAACUCUGAUUGAAUUUCCUUGGGUCCUUACAAUCCAGGCUUUCCCUUUUCUCCACCACUCACAGGGACACAGGUAAAAAUGUUUGAAAUACAUUGGCUUGGAGCUUGCUGAGAACCCUUGAAGAUGCUUUGAAAUGAUGUUUCCAAAGUUUGUUUCAAGCCAAGGCUAUAGAAUUUCUAAUUCAAUCACGUGGCUAAAAAUUCCGAGAUUUGAACACCACUCUGUGGGUAAGGCUCAGAGGACCUUCCAGAUUAACAGGGCAUUUUAAAAUUUAUUUUUAAGUUAAUUUACUUACUUAUCUAGGUUUGGUAAUGGUUUGUUUGUUUGGUAAGCUUGAGGGAAAUGUUAGAAUUUGAAAAGUUUCCCCCAGUGGUCUGUAACCAUCAGAAUUUAUUUCAAGCAAUUCCUUUCAGACUUGUAAGAAGUGCGUGUCAAAAUUCUAAUGUCCUAGGCACUUGGUUCUCUCUCAAAUGUAGCUUUCUCAUCCCUAGAGGUUUGUGUGAAACAGUUUCUACUCUUGUUUUAUUGCGCAGAGAUUCUGGAAAAUUGAUUUUUUAGCUAUCCCUUCCACAGAGCAACACGCACUUCAGCAUCUUCUUCUAUCAAAUGACCACAAAGGGUUAAAAUGGCACCUGGGUCACAUAGGCUUAAAAGUCUCAGUUCUGCUGCUUUCAGAUUGGGCCGUGGAAGCUCCAAGAGGCCAAUUGAAUUUCUAAUGACAUGUGUUAUUCUUUUUGGUUUUCUCGUGUGUCAGAUUAAAAUAUAACUAAGCUACUGAAGGAGAUUUGGUAAAUCUCUAGGUGACAGUCUUGACUUUGGUAAAGAAGCUGUUAACACACAGAGAUGAGUUGAAGUCCACCCCAGGUCAUUGGUCAUCAGGUAGAGAGUACAGAUUUAUCUGGUGCCAAAGCCAAAUUUCAGUAUGCCUAGCAUUUCUGCUGUAUUCACAGGAUACUGUAGUAUUGUACCUUAGAUGAAGUCUCCUUGGAGGUGAGAGCUCACUGUAAAAUUAAAGAAAAUAGCCUAUGUUUUAUUUUUGAUUCCAGGAUCAAACUCAGAAAGUUAUCUUAAGGCAAUUUCAACCCUCCAGGAGCUCAGUUGUUCUCCAAGGGAAAAUCACUUCAGCUGUGUAGGUUGCUUUAGAGAAAAAAAACGGUGUUAGCAGAAGAAUUGCCUUUUUUACUUUAAUGCUGUGGACAGUGAGUGGCCAAUUUACUCAGAUCUGAAGGCUAUGAGCUUAGACAGGUGGUUUUGAAUGCCCAGCCCAGCUCAAAGUCAUGAGAGUAGAUCAGAGCAGAUGGUGGUGUUUGGUGUUCCUGUCUAAAUUGUAUAGUCACUAUUGCCAGACAUUUAGGCACACAGUAGGGAGGAGAAAUUUUCUCUUGUCCUGCAAGCCUGAGUCAGGCUCUCUUUUCUUUUUCCCUCUCCUUCAAUGCCUCUCUCUUAAACUGACUUUGUCAGAUCAGCCUACAAAUAUUCCUAAAUCAUUUUCCUUUUUUGAAUUUCUGAAAUAAUGCUCCAUAUUGACUUGAAAUUUCACUCUUUACUUAAAUGGUUACUUUUGGUAGAGAUGGGAGUCAAGCACAGAAUAUUUCUCUGUUUAGAAUAUUGUUUACCAUUUCCACUUGUCUAAACCUUCUAUAAUAGAAUUCCCAAGGACUGCUGUGUCUCUUCAUAAGAGAAUUCUACCUCCAUGCUUCACUGAUAGCAGACUUGACUUGUAAAUUACUUUGAAAUGUGAAUGAAAGUUACUUAGGUCACUUCUGAAGAGUAGCUUUACGAGUCACUGCAUGGUUCUGUCAAUUAUUCUUUUUUCUCCGCCAUCAGCUAUGUUCAAAUAGGACAUAUUAUGUCAACCUAGUUGCAGAAUCAAAAAGAUAUCCAGCUGAGCCAUGAUGGAUUUGUAAUAUAAGAACAAAAAGAGAUCGUAGCUGAGAUUUUGGGAUUGUUUAUUACCACAACAUAUCCCAGUAUAAUCUGACUAAUGCACUUGUUCAUCUUUUAAAGCCCAAUUCAAUGAUCUCUUCUAUGAAACCUCUUGUCUAUAAUAUCACAUGUGGAUUAAUAUUAAAUUUACUAUUUUAUAAGUAAUAUAACAUUGGAAAAGUUAUUUAAUCUUCCUAAGGUUUAGGAAUAUUCUUUAUAUUUUACCUGUAAAAUAAAGAAAAUACUAAUAUCUCAAGGAUUGUCACAAAGCUUAAGAUAAUUCAUGUGAAGUUCUCAGCACUCAGUAAUUGUUAACUAUUAUUUAUCUUUAGUUUUUUUGUUUAUCAUUCUUAGUAACUGGCACAUUGCCUUGCAUUUUGGAAAUGCUCAGUAACUGUUGAGUAAAUAAGUGAAAAAAAGAGAUUCAUAUUUAUAUCUAUAUUCUUUUGCUUUCUCCUUAAGAGUUGAGAGUAGAUCUAUUAGAAGGUCUACCAUGGAAUUUGCUUUGGACUAGACAGCUGGAUAAGAGAAGAGCAUAAUUUUUGUUUUUAUUUGCAAGUCACCUUGAAUUUUUGAGGAUCUAGAGAAAAAAAUCAGAAAAGGAUUUCCUACUCUCUGUUAGCAGAAUUUACUUGAGUUUCUCUUCUAGGUUGGAUGAGGCAUAAACCAAUGCACUUUUGCUUGUCUUCUGCCACUCUUUGCCAGAUAAUUCUAUGUGAAUGAGCUAAACAGUGGUCAUAGAUUAUAUUAUGAUUAUCAAAGAGAAAGGAUAGUUGUAAAAUAAUAAAAUUUAAAGAUGAUUUUAUUGCUCCCUAAAUUCUUUUAUAAAAUGUUCUCAUUUUAUAUAAGGAACACUCAUGCUGCUUUUAUACAUAUCCUUUAGGGUAAUUUCCUUUUUAUAUUCAGAAUUAAUUCUUUUUAAAAAUGGCUCCCCAAAGUCUUCCUUUUCUAAUAGUUUCUCACUCAUGUGUACAUUUGUAUGCCUUUCUGUAAUUCUGGUUACUAAGCAUUGGAAAAUUUUGUCUCCAAUGAUACUCACUAUAGGACAGAUAAUACAAAUAAACUUUUUAUUUUUUUAAGUUUAUUUAUUUAUUAUGAGAGCAAGAGAGAGUGAUCAAAGGAGGGGCAGAGAGAGUGGGAGAGAGAGAAUUUCAAGCAGGCUCCAUGAUGUCAGUGCAGAGCCUGAUGUGGGGCUUAAUCCCAUGAACCAGGAGAUCAUGACCUGAGCCAAAAUCAAAAGUUGGAUGCCCAACUGACUGAGCCACCCAGACACCCCCAUAAAUCAACUUUUUAGUGAUUAUCUUCCAAGUACUAUCACUGUGGACAACACAGUUAAGGAGAUAGAAGAGAAUAUGAAAGAAAUUUAUAGUUAAGAAUCUAGUCACCUAAGUCAGUUUUCUUUUCCCUCAAUUAGAUACUAAGUUCUUUGGAGCCCCAGAGAACUGAGGUAGGAAGAUAGAAAUAACUCCACCAACUAUUUGUUGAUAUGCUGAUUGUGGUUUUGCUCAAGUUAUGAGUCUUGCUCCUGCAACAAUACUACCAAGUCAUAUGUGCAAAGCCAAGUGCUAACCUUUGUGGCAUAGAAUAUGAGUACAGGGGCGCCUGGGUGGCGCAGUCGGUUAAGCGUCCGAUUUCAGCCAGGUCACGAUC